rnacentral:sRNA from 1 species
UUCAUACUAUAGCGUUGUAUGUCAUGUG